rnacentral:rRNA from 1 species
UACGGAGGGUGCAAGCGUUAUCCGGAUUUACUGGGUUUAAAGGGUGCGUAGGUGGGCAGGAAAGUCAGUGGUGAAAUCUCCGGGCUUAACCCGGAAACUGCCAUUGAUACUAUUUGUCUUGAAUAUCGUGGAGGUAAGCGGAAUAUGUCAUGUAGCGGUGAAAUGCUUAGAUAUGACAUAGAACACCAAUUGCGAAGGCAGCUUACUACCCGAAUAUUAACACUGAGGCACGAAAGCGUGGGGAUCAAACAGG